AAUGAACGUUGGCGGCGUGGAUUAGGCAUGCAAGUCGAGCGAGAACCGUAGCAAUACGGGGACAGCGGCGAAAGGGACAGUAAUGUGUAGGUACCUACCCCUGGAUCUGGGAUAGCUGCGGGAAACUGCAGGUAAUACCGGAUAAUGUCUCCGGACCCAAGGUGUGAUUCCGUCUGGGGAGGGGCCUGCAUCCUAUUAGCUAGUUGGCGGGGUAACGGCCCACCAAGGCGACGAUGGGUAGCGGGUGUGAGAGCACGACCCGCGUCAUUGGGACUGAGACACUGCCCAGACACCUACGGGUGGCUGCAGUCGAGGAUCUUCGGCAAUGGGCGAAAGCCUGACCGAGCGACGCCGCGUGCGGGAUGAAGGCCUUCGGGUUGUAAACCGCUGUCGUAGAGGAGGAAAUGCAGGGGGGUUCUCCCCUUUGUUUGACCUAUUCUAGGAGGAAGUACGGGCUAAGUUCGUGCCAGCAGCCGCAGUAA
rnacentral:rRNA from 1 species